rnacentral:rRNA from 1 species
CCUACGGGUGGCAGCAGUGGGGAAUAUUGGACAAUGGGGGGAACCCUGAUCCAGCGACGCCGCGUGAGUGAAGAAGUAUUUCGGUAUGUAAAGCUCUAUCAGCAGGGAAGAAAAUGACGGUAACUGACUAAGAAGCCCCGGCUAACUACGUGCCAGCAGCCGCGGUUAUACGUAGGGUGCAAGCGUUAACCGGAUAUACUGGGUGGAACGGGAGCGUAGACGGUGCAGCAAGUCUGAUGUGAAAGGUCUGGGCCCAAACCCGGGACUGCAUUGGAAACUGUUGAACUGGAGUAAAGGAGAGGUAAGCGGAAUUCCAAGUGGAGCGGGGAAAUGCGGAGAUAUAAGGAGGAACACCAGAGGCGAAGGCGGCUUACUGGAACGUAACUGACGUUGAGGGUCGAAAGCGUGGGGAGCAAACAGGAUUAGAUACCCCAGUAGUC